UCGUGAAAGUUCCCUUUUGUUUUCGAAAAGAGCCCAGAAAGAAAGGAGCAAUAUUUCUUGUACCUUUCCAAAAAUUUCUACCGCCACAUAAGUUAGUUGAAUUGGCGGACGCGUGUAGAAUCAACCGUCUAAAACAUGAAGAAAGAAAGAAAUAUCUUGGUUUUGCCCGUUAUACACCGACUUAGAAGAAAAAAAACUUGCUAACAACACUAUCACAGACUGGCUCAGUCAUUGCAAAUUUCAAUUUCUCUCUCCAAAACUCUCUCUCUUUUCCAAAAAAUGUCAACCUCUUCAUCACCUGCCUCUCCUGAAAUUCUUCGCAGGAAUCGAAUUCUCUCCAGCAAACUCUAUUUCGAUGUUCCUCCUUCCAAGGUUCCGUUAAUUUAUUCAUCUACUUACAAUAUAUCCUUCCUCGGAAUGGAAAAAUUGCAUCCAUUUGAUUCUUCAAAAUGGGGUCGCAUAUGCCAAUUCCUCGCUUCAGCAGGUAUACUGGAGAAAAGCUGUAUAAUUGAGCCUGAAGAAGCUUCAAACGAGGACCUCUUAGUGGUAGUUCACCCAGAGGAGUACCUCAUUAGUCUCAAAAGCAGCUUGACUGUUGCUAAAAUUGUGCAGGUUCCACCAGUUGCAAUGUUGCCGAACUGCAUCGUGCAGCGGAAAAUUCUUGAUCCAUUUCGGAAACAGGUAGGGGGGUCUAUUCUUGCAGCAAAGCUUGCAAAAGAGCGAGGGUGGGCCAUUAAUGUUGGUGGAGGUUUUCAUCAUUGUUCUGCAGAUAAGGGAGGUGGAUUUUGUGUUUAUGCCGACAUCUCCCUCUGCAUUCACUUUGCUUUUGUCCAGCUAAACAUUUCCAGGGUUAUGAUUAUUGAUCUUGAUGCACAUCAAGGAAAUGGUCAUGAGAUAGAUUUUGCUGAAGACAGAAGAGUAUACAUUCUUGAUAUGUACAAUUGUGAAGUAUAUCCAUUAGAUUUUAAUGCCAGGAGGUACAUCGAUCAGAAAGUUGAAAUUGCAAGUGGGACCACAACAGAUGUAUACUUGAAGAAGUUGGAUGACGCGCUUGAGGUUGCAAGACAAAAGUUCAAUCCUGAGUUGGUGGUGUACAAUGCUGGAACUGACAUCCUGGAUGAAGAUCCAUUAGGCUGUGUGAGGUGAAGGCAACAAUCACCAAGUAUGCUUUGAGGAGAGAGUGAUAUGGUGGUGAACCAAGAUGCAGUGAUGGGUUAUGGUUGUAGGAAUACGUACAAGGAUAAGCAGUCAGCACGUACAUGGAUGAGCAGUCAGCACGUACAUGGAUGAGCAGUCAGGGAGCUGCCAGAAAUGAGGCCAGGAAGGGCCAGUCACGAGCCACAGGUUUUUGCGUCAACUAUUGGCUGGCAAGCGAUUCUUGUUGGUGGACACAACCUUGUAUUGCGGCUCCGUCCUGAAUUCCUGAUCCGCUUGAAUUAUUGUUGUGGGGAGGGGAGGUUCUGCUGAGUCCCUCUUCAAUAGAAGCAAGCGACGAACUGUGAUGGAGGGAAGAGGAUAUUGUUGGUUGAUAUUCUCGCCAACCGUGUCAAAUAUGAGGGUAAGGUAUUGAGCAACUUAAGAAUCAAACGUCUCUAGAAAGUUGAUCUGCAAGAGAUUUCAAUUGAUGGCAAUACAGAGUCUCAUGGUUAGUGCAGUGUUCUCACAUUCAUAGAAGGGGUCUCACAAGCUUCACAGGCGGUGGAACCAGGUUGUAAGAUAGUUAAAAGGUCUACCCGUCUACAGAGGUGGUGCCGUAGAUCCAGAUUAGCCCUGAUGGUAUAAUCAAGAGAGAUGAGAAGGUGUUUGCAUUUGCCCGUGAUAAGGGCAGUCCAAUACUAAUGCUUACAUCAGGUGGUUAUAUGAAGUCAAGUGCUAGAGUGAUUGCGG